GAGCGCAACCCUCGCCCUUAGUUGCCAGCAUUUAGUUGGGCACUCUAAGGGGACUGCCGGUGAUAAGCCGAGAGGAAGGUGGGGAUGACGUCAAGUCCUCAUGGCCCUUACGGGCUGGGCUACACACGUGCUACAAUGGUGGUGACAGUGGGCAGCAAGACAGCGAUGUCGAGCUAAUCUCCAAAAGCCAUCUCAGUUCGGAUUGCACUCUGCAACUCGAGUGCAUGAAGUUGGAAUCGCUAGUAAUCGCAGAUCAGCAUGCUGCAGUGAAUACGUUCCCGGGCCUUGUACACACCGCCCGUCACACCAUGGGAGUUGGUUUUACCCGAAGGUAGUGCGCUAACCGCAAGGAGGCAGCUAACCACGGUAGGGUCAGCGACUGGGGUGAAGUCGUAACAAGGUAGCCGUAGGGGAACCUGCGGCUGGAUCACCUCCUUUCUAAGGAAGC
rnacentral:rRNA from 1 species